AGGAGGAGGAGGGAGAUAGGGAUGAGGAUGAGGUAAGGGGGUUGGGAGAGGGAGGGGACAGGUGUAAGUACCGGGUUGGACAAACCCAGAGUACCCACCCUCUGCCCCAGAACUGCACCCCCCAUCCCUCCCCACUCCCACACAGAGACUGCCCAGAGGGUGAGGCCACAGCUUUGGGCCUAGCCUUUCCCUGGGGGCAUGGCCAACCCUGUGGGCUACUCUGAGCCUGCGGGGGGCCUGCAGCAGGGAGCAGGACCCCGUCUCCCCAGCUCAGCCAAGCCCCACGCGGGGCUAACCAGGCUGCCAGGGCCCCCAGCAGAUUACGUAAGGGCUUAUGCCGCCGCGGCUCAUUUGUCCGCCCCCCUCCCUCUCCAGCCUGGCGUGGCGCCAGGAGCCCGAAAACCCAGGGCUCCAGAAAUCAAUCUCGCGGUGACUGAUUAAGCCCUGUUUAGAACUAAUUGCUCUUUCGUGUGUGGGGAGAAUAAAUUACCUGCUUUAAUUUCGUGUCUUUAAAAUGCAACUGCAGGUAGAGAAGACUGUUAACCCUUUGCUGGGAGGGCCUGGCCAGGGGAAACAGAGUAGGCUGGGGUCCCCAAGGUGGGUCCAGGCCUGAGACUUUUCGGAGGUAUCACCCCAACUCCUCUUAGCUGCUGUGAACUCCACAGAGGGUUUGGAUUCCAGCAGGCCCCUCAAAAGACAUCCUUUUGCCACAGAGACCUCAGCCUUCACCCUCUUCAGUGCCCACCUUCAGGCCAGCCCAGCUCUCCUGCCUGCCCUUUGGGCUGCACCCUGCCCUCCUCUCCUGACCCACCUGCCUGCCCUCCAAGCCCCUUGCUGUUGGAGCCUUCUCAAAAUCCCCACAGUGUGUGGCAAAGUCCCCAUUCACACGCCAGAAGACCUAGGCUCAGAGAGAGGAAUGGCUUGCCCAAGGUGGCCUUUUCUGCUGUCCCUCGGUUCCUCCCUGGGCUUCACCUCUGCCAUCUCUCCAUACAUCCUCUUUUUAAUUCUGCUGUGCCAGUCUCCAGUGCUCCCCAUGUCACUGCCUGCUUUUGCCAGGCCUGUUCUGAGGACAGAGGAAGGCAGGAAGUCCACUGGCCCCACUGGAAUCUGGAGUAGAACUUCUGCUGGGCCUGCGGCACCCCACCUCUGGGGCCUCCCACCUGGUGGCCUCAACUUCCUGGUCCAGUAGAGAUGGGGUUUCACCACGUUGACCAGACUGGUCUUGAACUCCUGACCUCAGAUGAUCCACCCGCCUCGGCCUCCCAAAGUGCUGGGAUUACAGGUUGGUCUUAUUCUAAGUCUAAAGGAUAUCACAUUCUGCCAU
rnacentral:lncRNA from 1 species